rnacentral:rRNA from 1 species
AGAGUUUGAUCAUGGCUCAGAACGUACGCUGGCGGCACGCCUAACACAUGCAAGUCGAACGAAGUAGCAAUACUUAGUGGCAGACGGGUGAGUAACAUGUAGGUAUCUGCCCUUUGGCCUGGAAUAACACGAGGAAACUUGUGCUAAUACCGGAUAAGUCUUUACGGAGAAAGCUUUAUGCACCAUUGGAUGAGCCUGCACUUGAUUAGUUUGUUGGUGGGGUAAUGGCCUACCAAGACUGUGAUCAAUAGCUGAUUUGAGAGGAUGAUCAGCCACAUUGGGACUGAGACACGGCCCAAACUCCUACGGGAGGCAGCAGUGGGGAAUCUUGCACAAUGGAGGAAACUCUGAUGCAGCGAUGCCGCGUGAGUGAAGAAGGCCCUUGGGUUGUAAAGC